UUCAGAAUUUAGACCAAUUACCUGUGUAAUCCAGUCAUCUAUUGCCAGGGAUGUCGGCUGAACAGAACGGGAUUCUUUGUCAAAAGCAAAUACCAGAGUAUUCUUCCUGAGGUUUGUAGCCAUGGUUAAUCCAGCGAAGCAAUUUCGGUUAAACAACCGAAAUUCCAAGUAGCAGCAGCAAGACCAGAAAGAGCGAUCAGAUCACAAGGAACAGGAACGAACACGGAGAUUAACGGACGGACGGCACUCGGCAAAGCACAAGUACAGCGAUGUAAACACUGAAGUGCAGCGCAACAGUUAACAGCGGCCACUCGCGAGCGCGGCUGAAACGGAACUGAGACCACGGCGCUGCUUGACUUUCAGCCUCCUUGAUGUUGCUUAUCUUCGCAAGGACUACUCAGUGUGCUCGGUUGUCUUGGACACUCCUAAUGUCCCCUGUGACAGGUCAGCCAGCAGCGACAAACUCAUUAGUAUCGGGGUGGACACCCACCUUCCAGGCAACGAGAACAGCAGCUCAUCAUCGACGAUGUUUUCUUUUUCUAUUGUGGUGGGCAUCCGCAUACUAUAAGCACAGCCAACACACUAGCAGCACCACGUGCCGACGUCACGGGCACAGAGAAGACAUCACCUAUUGGCUGGAGACGCUGUGGCUCUGCUGUUACCACAACAGAAACAUUACAUCAUUGUGAGGCUACAUCAGUACAGUCAGAAAUGUUUACCUGGCAUUUAAAACUGAUUUUUGUUUACAAUAAACAAAUUAUUUGAGCAACA